rnacentral:lncRNA from 1 species
CCUCAGACCAUUUGGGUGCCAACAGCAACUGCAGCUCUGGCCCAAGCCAGGUGUGGGCUGACCUAGCCAGGGAGCGGGGAAGUGAAAGGAAUGGGUCCCUUCCCACUCAGAGGGCGGAGCCCCCACUUCUGGUGAGAGAAAGCUGAGCAGAAUGGAUCUAAUCUGAUUCCUCCACCCAGAAGCCCUUAAAAUGCAGCUUUGUUUUAAGCCUUCUUGAAGAUUUGGGCUAGAUCUAGAAAAGAACCUCACCACGGAGGAUGUGCAAAGUACAACACGUGACCCCGGAGACGGAAGCUCUUCUCUACCUCCGUAAAGAUGAUCUCUGAUGAACAGACAUGAUCAUGCCUGGAGAACAGGGAUGGACAGUCCCGCUUCUGAAAGACCCUGUCUGGCUGAUGAUUCAUGGUGCGCCGGGCAGACCCCAGGCCAAGAGACCCCACCCACAGUACCUGAGUGCUCAGCUGGGAACCAGACCAGACCUCAAAACAGACCAGCCCCCCAGCAUUGACCUGGAUGCCUGCCACAGCCUCCUCCCUGGUCUCCGGCCUCCCACCUCUGCUCCUCGGUCUCCUCUACCCAGCCAGUAACUGCAGAGAGCACUAAAGCACAGUCCUGGCAUCUCACCCCCUUAACCCUGGCCACGGCUUCCCAGUGCCUCCAAGAUAAAGCACCAACACCUGAGGACAGCAGCUUGUUUUGAGAGUCCCCUCCAUUGAAACACGCACAUCUAAUUUGUCCUUCAGUUCGCUGGACUCCACGCUGAACGUGCCAUGCUCCAUUGCCCCGUGAGUAACUCCAUGCUCUUGCCGGUUUCACACGGCCUCUCAGAGCUGGAGCCUUUGUUCAGGAGCCCUGGGCAGCUUUCAGGAAGCUCUUGGGCUCAUCAGCUUCCUCUGGCUGAAGCCGCCCCAGUGGAAUCAUGGGGAUUUCUUACUUUGAAGGUGGGGCCACCCGCAGACUGUAACCGGCUGGUUCAAGAUCAAGGACUUCCCCAGGCCACCUGCCUCAGAGGCAAGAAAGGCUCAGCUGAGUCCCAGACACUCCUCGCUGUGGCCCCUCCUUCCUCCCUGCUGGGCAGGCCCCCCUCAAUUCUGUUUGCCAGCAGGGCCUAGUAACACUGAAAGACGAAAAGGGAAAUAAAAUAAACACAAUUAAUAGGCUAAAGGUUACUGAAUAAAGUGGCAGCAGUAAAUAAAUUGACUACUGUGCAAAUACAAAGACAUGAAGACAUGAAACCCCUGCUCUAAAUGACCACUCACCAAGAGCAAGGCCUGGGCUGGAGGCAGGGAGCACCUCCCUAAGGAGCACUCCCUCUUUCCCGGAGUGAGUCCUCCUUCUAGAUGGAAUUCAGUCCGGGUUCCUCUUGAGCCACAGUCCCUGUUGGGGCCUAUCUCAGUGGACUCAAGAUCCUGAACUUCUUCCAGAUUGCUGACUACACAUUUGAGUCACCCAGAGAUUAAAAGAAAAAACAAAUAAUUUCCCAGUGAUCAGGAGUAAAUCAGCUGGGGCAGGGUUGGUGCUAUGAAUGACCACACUGAUUUGUACACUUCACUGAUUUGUAGUGUUUGCUAUUUCCGUCGUGUAAAUACUGCCAACAUGGACAAUCUUCAGUUGCUAAUGGUUUACUAACUGGCUUGUAAAUGAAUUCAUUCAGUAUUCAAGAAAAUGGCACUACAUUUAGAAACAUUUUGUAGCAUUUCUUACUUUCUAAGAAUUUCCAAUAGACACCAUGAUCACUAAAAAAUCAUAACCAGGCUGGGGGCAGUGGCUCACGCCUAUAAUUCCAAUAAUUUGGGAGACCAAGGAGGGAAGAUCACUUGAGGCCAGGAGUUUGAGACCAGCCUGGGCAACAUAGCAAAG